rnacentral:rRNA from 1 species
UACAGAGGUCCCGAGCGUUGUUCGGAUUCAUUGGGCGUAAAGGGUGCGUAGGCGGCGGGGUAAGUUUGAUGUGAAAUCCCGGGGCUCAACCCUGGAAUUGCAUUGAAUACUACCUUGCUAGAGUACCGGAGAGGAAACUGGAAUUCACGGUGUAGCAGUGAAAUGCGUAGAGAUCGUAAGGAAGACCAGUGGCGAAGGCGGCUCUCUGGGACGGUACUGACGCUGAGACGCGAAAGCGUGGGGAGCGAACAGG